rnacentral:lncRNA from 1 species
ACUGCGUCAAGAACAGAAGGAGAACCUCGUCCCGACGAUGAUAAAAACUCGGUCGCCCAAUAAAAUUAGAUAAAGGGAAAAGUCCCCUCAAUGGCAUCUCUACACUUCUACGCGACCCCACAAAAAGCAAGGGGAGGACCCUCGAUCAGAAAAGAGGAGGAAAGUUAAAAAGGAAAGCGACGAAUUACAUCGGCUACAGAUGAAAAAUAAAUCACACCAAAGACCUAGG